rnacentral:rRNA from 1 species
UUUCGCGGUAGUUGUAGAUAUUCCGACUGCNCUNUGUUCAGUUCAUGAACAUGCAUUGGGAAUUCUAAUGCACCUUAUCACUUAUAGGAAGGACAAUUCAUAACAAGGUUUCUGUAGGUGAACCUGCGGAAGGAUCAUUUG